CCUACGGGUGGCUGCAGUGGGGAAUUUUGGACAAUGGGGGCAACCCUGAUCCAGCCAUUCCGCGUGAGUGAAGAAGGCCUUCGGGUUGUAAAGCUCUUUUGUCCGGAGCGAAACGGGCGGCCCUAAUACGGUCGUCUACUGACGGUACCGGAAGAAUAAGCACCGGCUAACUACGUGCCAGCAGCCGCGGUAAUACGUAGGGUGCGAGCGGGGAGCGGAGUUUGUGGGGGCGAAGCGUGCGCCCGCGUGUGAAAUCCCCGGGCUCAACCUGGGAAUGGCAUUUGGGACUGCAAGGCUGGAGUGUGGCAGAGGGGACUAGAAUUCCUGGUGUAGCAGUGAAAUGCGUAGAUAUCAGGAGGAAUACCGAUGGCGAAGGCAGGUCCCUGGGUUAACACUGACGCUCAUGCACGAAAGCGUGGGGAGCAAACAGGAUUAGAUACCCUAGUAGUC
rnacentral:rRNA from 1 species